CCUACGGGAGGCAGCAGUGGGGAAUCUUGCGCAAUGCGCGAAAGCGUGACGCAGCAACACCGCGUGGGGGAAGAAGGCCUUCGGGUUGUAAACCCCUUUCAGGAGGGACGAAGGCCGGCCGGUGAAUAGCCGUGUCGGUUGACGGUACCUCCACAAGAAGCCCCGGCUAACUACGUGCCAGCAGCCGCGGUAAUACGUAGGGGGCAAGCGUUGUCCGGAAUCAUUGGGCGUAAAGCGAGCGUAGGCGGCCCGAUAAGUCUGCUGUGAAAGUCAACGGCUCAACCGUUGAAAGCCGGUGGAUACUGUCGGGCUAGAGUUCGGAAGAGGCAAGUGGAAUUCCUGGUGUAGCGGUGGAAUGCGCAGAUAUCAGGAGGAACACCCAUAGCGAAGGCAGCUUGCUGGGACGAUACUGACGCUAAGGCUCGAAAGCGUGGGGAGCGAACAGGAUUAGAUACCCUGGUAGUCCACGCCGUAAACGAUGAGAACUAGGUGUGGGAGGUGUCGACUCCUCCCGUGCCGUCGCUAACGCAUUAAGUUCUCCGCCUGGGGAGUACGGCCGCAAGGCUAAAACUCAAAGGAAUUGACGG
rnacentral:rRNA from 1 species